UAAGCAUAUCAAUAAGCGGAGGAAAAGAAACCAACAGGGAUUGCCUCAGUAACGGCGAGUGAAGCGGCAAGAGCUCAAAUUUGAAAGCUGGCCCCUUCGGGGUCCGCGUUGUAAUUUGCAGAGGAUGCUUCGGGUGCAGCCCCCGUCUAAGUGCCCUGGAACGGGCCGUCAUAGAGGGUGAGAAUCCCGUCUGGGACGGGGUGUCUGCGUCCGUGUGAAGCUCCUUCGACGAGUCGAGUUGUUUGGGAAUGCAGCUCUAAAUGGGUGGUAAAUUUCAUCUAAAGCUAAAUACUGGCCGGAGACCGAUAGCGCACAAGUAGAGUGAUCGAAAGAUGAAAAGCACUUUGAAAAGAGAGUUAAACAGCACGUGAAAUUGUUGAAAGGGAAGCGUUUGCGACCAGACUCGCCCGCGGGGUUCAGCCGGCAUUCGUGCCGGUGUACUUCCCCGUGGGCGGGCCAGCGUCGGUUUGGGCGGCCGGUCAAAGGCCCUCGGAAUGUAUCACCUCUCGGGGUGUCUUAUAGCCGAGGGUGCAAUGCGGCCUGCCUGGACCGAGGAACGCGCUUCGGCUCGGACGCUGGCGUAAUGGUCGUAAAUGACCCGUCU
rnacentral:rRNA from 1 species